GUAUCGAUUGCUUAUGCCUGUUAUAUGGUUUUGUUGUGUUUUCUUCGGGAAACGCACUAUGGGGUCGGCAGAUAUUCACUCAGACUUUGACACAACAGUGAUUAGUUGGUGCUAAAGCUGUUGUCACGGUGAUUUUAUACGGUGUGUGACUUUACAUAAGUAAAUAAACAGCAGUGUUUUGUGCAGAGCUGGACGCCUGUCACUGUACAGGGACAUCCUGUGACCAGGCCUCUGCUUACACACGUCUAAGCUCCUUAUUUACACCCUGUAUUGUGCGCUUUGAGUUGUACAACUGACUGGAGAUGGACACGGACAAGUUUAACUAUGUUUACAGUUGCGACCUGGAUAUAAAUGUCCAGCUUAAAAUAGGUAGUUUGGAAGGCAAGCGUGAACAGAAAAGCUACAAGGCUCUGCUUGAAGACCCUAUGCUGCGAUUCUCUGGCCUUUACCAGGAGAACUGCUCUGACCUGUAUGUAACCUGCCAGGUGUUUGCAGAGGGGAAGCCACUAGCGCUGCCUGUUCGAACGUCCUAUAAAGCUUUCAGUACCCGCUGGAAUUGGAAUGAGUGGUUGAGGUUGCCAGUGAAGUAUCCUGACUUGCCACAAAAUGCUCAGGUAGCUCUGACCGUGUGGGACGUUUAUGGGCCAGGACGUGCCACUCCUGUAGGGGGCACCACAGUCACCCUAUUUGGGAAAUACGGAAUGUUCCGGCAGGGCAUGCAUGAUUUGAAGGUGUGGCCGGGGGUGGAGGGUGAUGGAGGGGAGAACACAUCAACACCGGGAAGGACCAGCAGCACUCUGGCUGAGGAUCAGAUGGGCAGGCUGGCUAAGUUGACAAAGGCUCAUCGACAGGGGCACAUGGUGAAGGUGGAUUGGUUGGAUCGCUUGACCUUCAGAGAGAUCGAGAUGAUCAACGAGAGUGAGAAACGUAGUUCCAACUUCAUGUACCUUAUGGUAGAAUUCCCCAGAGUCAAGAGUGGAGACAGAGAAUACAGCAUAGUUUACUAUGAAAAGGAUGGAGAUGAAGCUUCCACAUUACUGACUAGUUCAGACAUAGUUAAAGUCCCUGAUCCUCAAAUGUGUUUGGAGAAUCUGGUGGAGAGCAAACAUCACAAACUGGCUCGGAGUCUGCGGAGUGGACCAUCUGACCAUGACCUGAAGCCCAAUGCUGCCACAAGAGACCAGCUUAAUAUCAUCGUCAGUUAUCCUCCCACCAAGCAGCUAACCUCUGAGGAGCAGGACCUGGUGUGGAAGUUCAGAUAUUACCUCACCACUCAGGAAAAGGCCCUGACUAAGUUCCUAAAGUGUGUGAACUGGGCAAUGCCACAGGAGGCAAAGCAGGCACUGGAGUUAUUGGGAAAGUGGAGACCCAUGGAUGUAGAGGAUUCACUGGAACUGCUCUCAUCUCAAUUCACCAACCCUACAGUCAGACGCUACGCGGUGGCUCGUCUACAGCAGGCUGACGACGAGGAUUUGUUGAUGUACUUGCUGCAGCUGGUUCAGGCUCUGAAGUAUGAAAACUUCAAUGAUAUCCAGAAUGGUCUGGAUCCUGGCAGUAAGCGGGACAGCCAGGGCCUGUGCGAGAGCACAACGCUGGGUGAUUUGGACAGCUCCCAGAUCACCUCAGCUAUUAUAGCAACCACUGGCACUCAGAAAGGCAAAGACGGAGCAGAUGAAGAAAAUCUGGAGCAAGACCUGUGUACAUUCCUCAUAUCGCGUGCUUGCAAGAACUCGACAUUAGCCAACUACUUGUACUGGUAUGUAAUAGUGGAGUGUGAGGACCAGGACACACAGCAGAGAGACCCAAAGACUUACGACAUGUAUCUGAAUGUAAUGAGGAGAUUCAGCCAAGCUCUGCUCAAGGGUGAUAAGAACGUGCGAGUGAUGCGCUCUCUGCUGGCAGCACAGCAGACAUUUGUAGAUAGACUUGUGCAGCUCAUGAAGGCAGUUCAGAGAGAGAGUGGUAAUCGCAAGAAAAAGACGGAGAGGCUACAGGCUCUGUUGGCUGAUAACGAGAAGGUGAGUCUGUGUGAGAUCGAUCCUAUUCCCCUCCCUCUGGAGCCCCAGGUGUACAUCAGAGGCAUCGUGCCAGACACUGCCACACUUUUCAAGAGUGCUCUGAUGCCAGCGAAGCUGAUCUUUAAGACUAAAGAUAAUGAACUUUAUCCUGUGAUCUUUAAACAUGGUGAUGACCUGCGACAAGAUCAACUCAUCCUACAGAUCAUCUCACUGAUGGACAAGCUGCUAAGGAAAGAAAAUUUGGACCUAAAGCUGAUGCCAUAUAAAGUGCUGGCCACAAGCACCAAACAUGGUUUUAUGCAGUUUGUACAAUCAGUUCCUGUGGCAGAAGUUCUGGCGACCGAAGGCAAUAUUCAGAGUUUCUUUAGGAAACAUGCUCCUAGUGAAAAAGGACCGUAUGGCAUCAGCCCUGAAGUGAUGGACACCUAUGUGAAGAGCUGUGCUGGCUACUGCGUCAUAACCUAUAUUCUCGGAGUUGGGGACAGACACCUGGACAACCUGCUUCUCACUAAGACUGGAAAGUUGUUCCAUAUUGAUUUUGGCUACAUUCUGGGACGGGACCCCAAACCACUGCCUCCUCCGAUGAAGCUGAGUAAGGAGAUGGUAGAGGGCAUGGGGGGCAUGCAGAGUGAACAGUACCAGGAGCUUAGAAAACAUUGUUACACGGCGUUCCUGCACCUGCGCAGAUAUUCGAACCUCAUUUUAAACCUGUUCUCCCUCAUGGUGGAUGCCAAUAUACCCGACAUCGCACUCGAGCCUGAUAAGACAGUUAAAAAGGUCCAGGAUAAGUUCAGAUUGGACCUGUCAGAUGAGGAGGCUGUGCACUACAUGCAGACUCUGAUAGAUGAGAGUGUGGGAGCUCUGUUUGCCGCUGUGGUGGAACAAAUACACAAAUUUGCCCAGUACUGGCGAAGGUGAGGGGACACGAUGGAGCCUGAAGCUCGCAGCUCUACAGAUCUUGCCACAGUAAAUAAAGUAAGAUGGAACAAAUGAAAGUGGAGGAAAUGAGACACAGAAGGGUGCCAAAAGCACGUGUGGUGUCAUGUAGAGUUGUAUGCUUCUAAAAGGAAAUAAAACAGCAUUGGUUGUAAUGUAAAUGAAAAGCUCAGUGGCAGGAUGCUGAGAAGCUCAGUUAGUAUUAUCCCCUGUCAUAUGUCCUCUUAUACCACAGCAGUCUGCCAAUGAGGUUUAUUAAACAUUUAUAGUAAAUCUGUGAAACAGGUUUGUUUCUGUUGUCACUUAUAUGUAGGGGAGUCAUUCUCUCGUCAGCCUCUCACAGUACAUUUAUAUAAAUCUGUGAUAUCAGUUACAGACAGAACUAUUAUCAGAAAUGUAACAAAACUGUGGUAUAACUGCAGCUUGUUCAUUUAAUGCAAAUGUAAGAAUACUAAGUUUAUUAAGUUAUAUACGAUUGUUCUGUACAGUGAACUAAAACAAUUUAAUAGAAAAUGUAAUGAGUGCAUUGUUGAUGGAGCUGUUACUGUACUUUAAAAAUUGCUUUAUUGUAAUAAAGAUACAGACUUCAUAUAAGCUGCAGAGCCGUUUUUCAUCUCAGCCGCUUUUAGAAAUAGCAGUAACUUUGUAUCUGGCUCUGCUUGUGUCCUCGAGAUGGUACUGAAGCAGAUGGAGUCACAUGCCCCAGUCAACAGGAAUUCAGACACCUUUUAAUAUUAUUUAGAUUUUUAAUUCGAUAAAAUAAAAGAAUAUUCACCUGUAUCCGGAAUGCAGCAUUGUUGAUUUACAGUCUUUGUUUUUUUAAUCUAUGGUUCAAUAUUAUAAUAAUAAAAAAAAAUUAAUUAUACAUCAAAUACAAAGAAAUAUUUACAAAUACUAAAAAGAAUCAGCUUAGAUUUAUUAAAAAAAAAAAGGUUACAUUAUAUAAAGCUGAUUCAAGGUUGUAGUUGUUAAACACAGACACUAUCAGAAUAAAACCUCAAAUCGGGGUUUUCCUCACACACUCUUUGCCAUCAGCCUCAUGUUUUUCACAGUGAGCUUUCAGGGUUGUGGGUUGUGGCUUUAUUAAAGCAGCACACUUUCACACUCGCACAUUUUUCGCUUUAGGUCAACUUGACAUUUAAAACUACAGCAAUGAAACCCUGCAUCUAUAUUUUUUGUGAUAAAGAAAAUAUGUACUACAGAAUUCAUUAGAAUCAUACAUGCACACAAAA